GUAUCUCUUGACUGCAUCUGAAUUCACAGGACGAGUGAAAUCCUCCCCAUCCAUUGUUGUAAGCAUCAAAGCACCGCCUGAAAAGGCUCUCUUAACAACAUAUGGACCCUCGUAGUUUGGAGUCCACUUGCCCCUGGAAUCGGGCGCGAAAGACAAAACUUUCUUGAGCACAAGGUCACCUUCUCGGAACACACGAGGCUUGACCUUCUUGUCGAAUGCUUUCUUCAUUCUCUGCUGAUACAACUGACCAUGGCACAUGGCAGUUAAUCUCUU
rnacentral:lncRNA from 1 species